ACAAAACCAAGUAGAACCUAACUUUCAAAAACUGAGAAUCAGGUUGUAGACCGUAGAUAAACUCUAGAGAGAGAGAAGCUCCCUUUUAUCUCUAGAGUUUUCAACACUUCUUUUCACAAUGAGAGUCCACCGUCAGCACGAAUUUCACCACCCGCCACCUCCAUCUUCUUCCUCCCUUCUUACCAAUCCACCCUCACCCACAAUUAUCACCCCCUUAUACACCCUCUGUGGUGUUUUGUACUUGUUUUGUUGAUAUCUAGAGGGUCUAAUCCCUCCUUGCUUGAUUUCUUAUCUUCUUCUUAUCAAUUUAUCCCCAAAAAAUUUUAGAUUUGACAUAAUCCUCCAUGAUCUCUUUCACCAACACCUCAUAUCAUCUCUCUUCUACUUUCUUAGAUUACUUCCAUGAAAGUUCCCAUGGCUUCCAUGAAAGUUCCCAUGGCUGCCUUUCAAAAGUGAAAAUCACUUACCUAGGAGAGUAUGGAUGCUCACACAUGGGUUUCUCAAUCACCAUUCUCUAUUGUAACAAUUCUUUGCUUUUAGCUUAUAUUGUUCUCCGGUGGCCUCGGCUCUUCAUGGAUGGUGCAUCUUUGGUGGAGAAGAGAAAAGUGGUUCAAGGUGUGCUCGCUUUGAAUGCAUUAAUUGUACAAAUAUAAAACAUCAAGGUGGAACAUCCAAGAAAACUGGAGCACUAAUAGCUAGUUAGCAAAAAUGGAAGUCGAUUAUCAGAAGAGCUGAUAGCGUAUAUACUGUCAAGGCUUUCUCCCAAAUCCCUGAUGCGUCUCAAAUGUGUGCAUAAAUCGUCAUGAUCAAUAGCUCCAUUCUCCAACUCUGUAACCAAACACUUCUCCAUUUCGAAUAAGCGCAACAACCUCUUCUCCUCCUCCACUACCAUCCUCUUCUUGCAUUUCGUCUAUGAAGACAUCAACACCUAGGAGAGAGACAUUUUAUUGUCAUCAUUCAAUCUUUUUCAUGAUAAUGAGACGACGACGAUGAUGAUGACAACAAUCUAGGUUCUGAUCUCGAUGACCUCAUUAUCCCGAAGGAUUUAAA